UUGAGACAAGUCUCAGGUCUCUUUGGAUUUCCCUGGAAGAUCCUGGUGUGUGCUGCUGUCGUUGUUUUCUCAAGUGACUGAUGCAAAAAAAAAAAAAGGUCUUAAAAGUAUCUCAGAAGGAGGCAGAUUGCUUCAGAAUAAAUUAAUGCACACUUUGAAAGAAAAUACUCAUCUUUGGGAAAGUCUAAAACUGUUUGCCCAAGAAACUGCAGUAUGGAAGCAAAGCUUAAAGAACAGAAAAAAGUGUUUGAAAACUCAAACCCAGGAAUGAAAACGGUUGUAAAUAACAAAGAGAGAAAAUUAAGAUGUCUGACUGAAACCGUGCUGAAGAUCACACAUUUUCCUGAUCUCUUUAAAGAUUAAAUGAAUGAUAGCAACGUGGAAUUAGAGACAAAGAGUGAAUCAGAAAAUGGAGAUCACCUAGGCUAGCAGUCAGAAGGUGAAGAAACUCAUGGAAUCUAUUAAUGUAGAUGUUUCCACUAAAUGCCUUCAAGGAGAAAAAUAAGAAAUAUUCAAAGACUUUUCUGAAAAAAAUCAAACAAAUGAAUAACUUACAGGACAAAUAAAAGGUCUCCAAACUGAGCAAGUGUCUUUGCAGUCUGAAAACUCACAGCUUGAAAGUGGGAUUCAGAAGCUUCAGCUGAAACUUCAAAUACUGCCUAAAAUACAUCAAGAACAUAUAAUGAAGCUUCAGAGAACAUCAGCUAAGGACAAAAUGUGCUGCUUAGAAACAGAGAACAAACUUCCCAAAGCAUAUGUUAGCAUGAACUACACAUCUCAGAAGUGCAACCUCUAUGGGAAGAUGGCCAAAGGCCUGGGCCAAAAAUUGGAAAGAAUGAUUCUUUCCUAUCAAAACCAGGUUCUCUUCUAUGGGAAAGGGCUUAAGAAAGUUGAAUGGCAGCUCUGUUGACCAAGAGAACUCUCAAUGAGUCAAGAAAAGAAAAUGACCAUAACAGAUAAAUAUUGGCUAAAACAGAGUUUUAAUUCCAGUCUUGGUUUGACUCCACCUUCACAGCAGCUGACCUCUGAGCACCCAUAAUUGCAACAGAA
rnacentral:lncRNA from 1 species